UGCAUUCACUACUGUAAGUUGCUCUGGAUAAGAGUGUCUGCUAAAGGACUAAAA
rfam:Salmo salar isolate Sally breed double haploid chromosome ssa14, whole genome shotgun sequence.